GGGUCUAUAGCUCAGUUGGUAGAGCGCUUCGUUCGCAAUGAAGAGGUCGGCGGUUCGAUUCCGCCUAGAUCCACCA
rnacentral:tRNA from 1 species